UUGCGAGAAACUUCUUACUGAGGGCAUGUGCGCCCUUGAGAUUAGUCGGGAUGCUGUUCCUGAACACCCGGUUCCAAUAAAAUAUAUAUAUAUAUAUAUAUAUAUAUAUAUCAUGUGAGCAAGAUCCUUACCUCUGAAAACAAAGAUAGAGAAAAUGCCCGUUUUGAAGGGAGCAUCGUUUUGGGUUAAAAUGCUCGGUGAUCCUAAACUCUGGUGAUUUAGUUAGGAUACAUUUAGGAUACACCCAAAUUCUGUCAAAACUCCCGUGAAGAGAUCUGAUAUUAAAUUUUGAGUCAUUCAUUUAGGAUACACCCAAAAGAGUUGGUAUUCAUUUUUAUUGUUUUAUUCUAUUUUCGAUAAGUUGAAUACACUCAAGGAAGAUGUGGAGGCUACUGCCGAAUGGGGUACUGUUACUAAGGUUAAAAAGUCAUUUCACCAGAGUUAUCAUCUUUUUAGCGUGUACGAUGACCAAUAUAUUUGGAACA